GAUACCAUUAAUGGCAUAAAAAAGUUUAUUCAAUGAGUACUGUCUUGUUCUUAUAAUGCGAUCUACUUUUGUCAAUACGAUUGCUGUAGAACUGAUUGGACCUACAUAUUUACAAUAGUUUAACUGUUGUUCUGUUUCCUUUUUACAGUCCCAAUAUUAUUGCACAUUCGGUAGCAAAGAUGUUGACACCACAUGUCGUCUGAUGAUGACUUUUACGGGAUCGAAUAAGGUUUGGUCAUUGUAUUCCCUGAAAGGAAUGAGAGGAGAAAAGAAACUGGAAGACCUGGCUAUCUGCAGGCCAAUGCUGGCUGCAGGUCAAUAUUGAAUGCUCUUAUGAAAACUCAUAAGACAAUAACAAAAAAAAAGAAGCUGAGGAUGCUGUUUUUAAAACAUGCUCCAUUCAAAAAAGGUGGAUUGAAAUUUAAGAAAGGUGUGACGGGUGCGUCUGCUGCAGGCAGGGAGGAUUUGACGGUCGGCCAGAGGAUUUGGAGAUAUACUGUAAUGUCUUUAAUGUGGACUUGCAUGUGAUUUAAGUUUUCACAAGGGUUUUAGUGUGUGUGAAAGUAUGUCAGUUUUCAAAAUUGAGCUAUGACAAUUUGCUCAAACUACAUAACUCAAAGAACUUUGAAGCGGUCUUGUUGACGUCAUGAGCUUUUGUUUAAUACCAGUAUUGGUGAUAUAGGCCCAUGAUUAUAUACUGUAGAAAGUGAACAAGUUCACUGCUCGAUACAGAUAAUCAUAUAGCCUGAUCUCUGAAUGAUAUUUAUGAACCAAAAGAAGGCAUAAAAUAAAAACAUUACAGUAGUGAUUUGAAUUAUUGAUAUUGUUAAACUAGAUCUGGGCCUGUAUUCAUAAAGGAUCUUAGUAAAAAAAAUUAUCUAGAACUUAAUAUUCUUUGAACAAUCAAGUCAAAAACUGUUCACGCUCUUUAAAUAUUUCACAGCAUGACUCCAAACUUGUAUAUUAUACCAAAGAAAAAUAGAUUGUCAACUUGAAAGGUGUAUAGAGCAAAUCUCGCCAACAUCACAUGGCAACUGAAUGAGGUCUCC